UGUUGGCCAUCUCCUUCUCAGAUUCGGCACUCUUCAGCAAGGGCUUGAUCUUAAAGAACAGCUUCAUCCAGGGCCAGUGCUUCACAUUCAUGAAGGACCUAACAUUGUACUGAAUGCAGAAGAUGGACUCCCUGAAAGGAAUGAGGCAUCGCACAAAAUGAGGAUGUGUGCUUCGCAGAUUGCUCAUCAGCUUGUUUAAAUUCUCCUUGAAGAGCAAGAGCAAAGACUUGGGUUUAAGAAUGUCAUGUGUACAAUAUCACUAAUAGAUGGAGUAAAGACACUGCAAUAAAACCAUCAGCAGUAUUUUCUUUUUUAUCAAAUUUUCAUGCAGCUCUGAAAGAAUACUUCUGAGGAUUCAAUGAGAAUCCUUUGUUAAGAAGCACAUGCCUUUAUUUUUUCUGACAAUAAGGAUUUUGCAUAUGAAAUUAAUCUAAAACUUUUCUGAA